CACUCAGGUGGUCGAAUGGUUAGAGCGUCAGCAUUGGACGCUGGAGGUAGCUGGUUCGAAUCCCGGCCGAGUCA